UACGGGGGGAGCAAGCGUUGUUCGGAUUUACUGGGCGUAAAGGGCGCGUAGGCGGCCACCGCAAGUCGACUGUGAAAUCUCCGGGCUUAACCCGGAACGGUCAGCCGAUACUGCGGGGCUAGAGUGCAGAAGGGGCAACUGGAAUUCCCGGGUGUAGCGGUGAAAUGCGUAGAUAUCGGGAGGAACACCUGUGGCGAAGGCGGCCCCCUGGUUGGAUACUGACGCUGAUACGCGAAAGCGUGGGGAGCAAACAGGG
rnacentral:rRNA from 1 species